rfam:Oryza brachyantha chromosome 1, whole genome shotgun sequence.
UUUACUUUUUAUCUUCAAUUUUUGACUCUUCGUCUUAUUUAAAAAAAUUUUGCGAUUAAUAUUUUUUUAUUAGAUGAUAAAUCAUGAAUAGUACUUUACGUGUGAUUAAUUUUUUCUAAUUUCCUAAAAAAAAUUUUAAAUAAGACGGACGGUCAAACGUUGGACACGGAAAUCGGAGAAUUCGCUUUCU